rnacentral:rRNA from 1 species
GAUGAACGCUGGCGGCGUGCCUAAUACAUGCAAGUCGAGCGAACGGACGAGAAGCUUGCUUCUCUGAUGUUAGCGGCGGACGGGUGAGUAACACGUGGAUAACCUACCUAUAAGACUGGGAUAACUUCGGGAAACCGGAGCUAAUACCGGAUAAUAUUUUGAACCGCAUGGUUCAAAAGUGAAAGACGGUCUUGCUGUCACUUAUAGAUGGAUCCGCGCUGCAUUAGCUAGUCGGUAAGGUAACGGCUUACCAAGGCAACGAUGCAUAGCCGACCUGAGAGGGUGAUCGGCCACACUGGAGCUGAGACACGGUCCAGACUCCUACGGGAGGCAGCAGUAGGGAAUCUUCCGCAAUGGGCGAAAGCCUGACGGAGCAACGCCGCGUGAGUGAUGAAGGUCUUCGGAUCGUAAAACUCUGUUAUUAGGGAAGAACAUAUGUGUAAGUAACUGUGCACAUCUUGACGGUACCUAAUCAGAAAGCCACGGCUAACUACGUG